CAAAAAUCCACCGUCCGUUAAUAACCGACCGACCCAUACUACCCGAUUGCUUUCGGUCGGGUCAAUUUCGGGUUCACGGGUCAAACGGAUUGGCCAUUCGGUUUUAAGUGGAUAGAAGCGGUUCGGUUCGGAUGGAAAUAUUGGACCCAUCGGUCACCGAACCCGACCGAAUCCAAUUAAUAUACUCCUAUAUUAUCAUACUUUACUCGUUUUCCUUCUCUCACUCUCUCAUAUCUAUUCAUUCUCACUAUCAACACACAAAAACCCUAAUUUUUUUCUCUCACUCUCUCACUCGUAUUCCUCCUUCUCUUCUCCGCCGCCGUGUCAAUCUUCAUUCAUCCUUCAUUGUUUCACCUUUACCUCCUUCUCUUAUCAUAACCGCACCACCUGUUUACCUUCAUAGUCUUCUCAUACUAAUGUUGUCUUCAUAAAUUGUUUAUUUUCAGGUGUUGAAGUGAUUUAAAGCUACGAGAGGUGGUUAUACUAUUCUGAUGAAAAGAAAUCUUACAAAAGAUUCAUUUAGAUCUGUUUUGGAUGGGUUCAACUAAGGUUCAACUAAGGUUCAAGUUUCACUAAGAUUCAUUUAGAUCUGUUUUGGAUGGGUUCAACUAAGGUUCAAGAUUCACUAAGGUUCAACUAAGUGAUGGGUGCUUGGCUGACUUGAAGCUAUCAUAUGUGGUUCUACUUUGAUGAAGUUAAUCUUACAAAAGUUGUGCUUUGAUUUUGAGAUUCCACAGAGUGAUGUAGUGAAGGUGUAGUGAAGGUGAUUCUUCUUUCAAGCAUAUCUCCAAAGUUUCCUGAAAUUAUAGAUUUUGAAAAGGCUGGGUUGCAAGAAGAAAGAUUUCCUGGUUGAGAGCUACACUUUAUUCUAGUAAAUCUAACUUUUAUACAAGGGUUCUGUUUAUUGUGAUUUUGAUGGUUCAAGUGAUUUGUGUUUCAACCAACAGGGGGUCUAAAAGCCUAAAGUUGUUACCUUUGAGCAUUUCAUAUUUAUAUUGUUGAAAAAUAUAAUAUCUUUAAGCAUGUCCUCAAACUGAAACUGAAGAAAUCAUCACAAAUAUUUUCUAUGAUUGUGUUGUUCAGGUAUAACAUAAAUAUAAUAGUAUCUCAAAAAUGACAGGAGGAAGUAUGGACAUAUCACAUUUUAUGUCACAGAAGGAUAGAUAUUCAAUUUAAAUGUUUAUUUAAGUUGUAAUAAUAAUAUAUGUGAAACACUUUAUAUUGUGUUUUUACUAUAUUUUUUAAUGUUUUAAU